GCGCUGUUAAAUUUGGUCACCUGUCAGCUGCGCUACUGUUUUAGCACCGGUAAAGCGUCAAGUAAUGAUACUGCGCUGACAAACGGUUUAUACUCACCACCGAAAUGAAGCUUAUGAUAAAUAAAAUACUGCUCCUUGCUGUUCACUGAUUCAAGGUCGUUCAGUGGCUACCAUUGGCCGAUCUCACCAACGGGAUAUAAUAAGAACUGAUUAAGGUUUAUAUCUAUAUAUGUCAACUUUGGAAGUAGUGCGCUGGAUUCGCCCAAAGAUAUGCUAAUCAACGCAUCAAUUAGUUUGACAGAAAAACUUCGGUUCGAAGGUCCAGAAUUCUAAUUUGGUGUUACGCCGACAAUGUGUGUUCAAAAAUUCUUCUUCUUCUCUAUUAGCAACAGUUACGGCGUGUUUGGCGAGUAUAGCGGGCUGCGUCACUUUCAGCGUUUAUGCACCCGUAGCCAAGU